CCCUACGGGGGGCAGCAGUGAGGAAUAUUGGUCAAUGGGCGAGAGCCUGAACCAGCCAAGUCGCGUGAGGGAGUACUGCCCUAUGGGUUGUAAACCUCUUUUGUCGGGGAGCAAAAGCCGGACGUGUCCGGCUGUGAGAGUACCCGAAGAAAAAGCAUCGGCUAACUCCGUGCCAGCAGCCGCGGUAAUACGGAGGAUGCGAGCGUUAUCCGGAUUUAUUGGGUUUAAAGGGUGCGUAGGCUGAAUGUCAAGUCAGCGGUAAAAAUUCCGGGCUCAACCCGGUCGUGCCGUUGAAACUGGCGUUU
rnacentral:rRNA from 1 species